GGUUGAGAGACGACCUAGUUAAGUUUAUUCCAUUGAAUAUAAACUCCAUUUUCUAUUGCCGCUUUUGCGCUUCAACAUUCCAUCUCAAUUUGAUAGUUCAAUCGAUCUAGGGUUUUCUCAUUCUUCGAUUAUGGCGCCACCAGCUGCAGUAUCGGGUCUGGCCAAGGCUCUCCGUCCCCGCCUCCACCCCACCGAUGUACAGGCCGCCGCUCUUUGGGGCGUCACCGCCGGGGCCGCCGCUAUCUACCUUGUUCAGCCUUUUGACUGGAUUAGGAAGACAUUUUUUGAGAAACCUGCACCUGAAGAGAAAUGAAGUUUGAUCUCACAUCCAACCUUUUUGUAAUGAUUUUCUGAUGCAACUCUGAGCAGAGAUUAUGAAAUAAUAAUAAUGAUUUUAUGUAAUCAUGCUUUUCCCAGUAAAAGCUACUACAUUGUACUUGUUUUUUUGGAUUAAUUUGCACAAGCUAUUGAUUUCUCUCUCUCA